AGAGUUUGAUCCUGGCUCAGGACGAACGCUGGCGGCGUGCCUAAUACAUGCAAGUCGAGCGGAUGAAUCGAAAGCUUGCUUUUGAUUCGUUAGCGGCGGACGGGUGAGUAACACGUGGGCAACCUGCCCUGUAGACGGGGAUAACACCGAGAAAUCGGUGCUAAUACCGGAUAACACGAAAUGUCGCAUGACGUUUCGUUGAAAGACGGCGCAAGCUGUCGCUACAGGAUGGGCCCGCGGCGCAUUAGCUAGUUGGUGAGGUAACGGCUCACCAAGGCGACGAUGCGUAGCCGACCUGAGAGGGUGAUCGGCCACACUGGGACUGAGACACGGCCCAGACUCCUACGGGAGGCAGCAGUAGGGAAUCUUCCGCAAUGGACGAAAGUCUGACGGAGCAACGCCGCGUGAGCGAAGAAGGCCUUCGGGUCGUAAAGCUCUGUCGUUAGGGAAGAACAAGUAACGCAGUAACUGGCGUUACCGUGACGGUACCUAACGAGAAAGCCACGGCUAACUACGUGCCAGCAGCCGCGGUAAUACGUAGGUGGCAAGCGUUGUCCGGAAUUAUUGGGCGUAAAGCGCGCGCAGGCGGUUCCUUAAGUCUGAUGUGAAAGCCCACGGCUCAACCGUGGAGGGUCAUUGGAAACUGGGGGGACUUGAGUGCAGAAGAGGAGAGCGGAAUUCCACGUGUAGCGGUGAAAUGCGUAGAGAUGUGGAGGAACACCAGUGGCGAAGGCGGCUCUCUGGUCUGUAACUGACGCUGAGGCGCGAAAGCGUGGGGGAGCAACAGGAUUAGAUACCCU
rnacentral:rRNA from 1 species